UAACGCGUAGGUAACCUGCCUUGUAGCGGGGGAUAACUAUUGGAAACGAUAGCUAAUACCGCAUAACAAUGGAUGACACAUGUCAUUUAUUUGAAAGGGGCAAUUGCUCCACUACAAGAUGGACCUGCGUUGUAUUAGCUAGUUGGUGAGGUAACGGCUCACCAAGGCGACGAUACAUAGCCGACCUGAGAGGGUGAUCGGCCACACUGGGACUGAGACACGGCCCAG
rnacentral:rRNA from 1 species